rnacentral:misc_RNA from 1 species
GUUCAGCCAGAGGACGAAAUUCAAGCAGCAGAAGCAGACGAAAGAAUUCGCAGCUUUUUCCAAAAAGUUGCUGGAGAAGAUUUGGAAAUUGAUUGGAAGGAACUGCAAGAUGUCAUGAAUUUUGCAUUGAAGAGAGAAUUCAACUUCGAGGGCUUUUCCAAGGACGUGUGUCGGGCCAUGAUCGCCAUGAUGGACGUGGACCGCUCGGGCAAGUUGGGUCUGCACGAGUUCCUGCAGCUGUGGACGGACAUCCGCGUCUGGAAGAACGUGUUCCGCCUGUACGACAAAGAUUCCUCGGGUCACCUGUGUUCCUUCGAGCUAAGGCAGGCCCUCAAUUCAGCAGGCUACAGGUUGAACAACCACGUGUGCAAUGCGCUCAUGUUGCGCUACGGGGACGAUCAGGGACAGAUUGCCUUCGAUGAUUUCAUUAUGUGCAGCGUCAAGUUGAAGACCAUGAUGGGCCUAGGCGACGACCCGGACCAACUCCAAGCCUUUUACGAGGAAUUGAUGAGCGAAAACGAAGCAAAGCAACAGAAGGAGGAGGAGGAGGAGGAGGAAGAAGAAGAGGAAUAGGAGGAAAUAGGAUGAAGAAGGCGAGGAGGAGGAGGAUGCGUGGAUGAGGGGACGGAUGGAGACGUUUUUGGAGAAGGACGUCGAGAAAAAUAACACAGCGACCUUCACCCUCGAAGAGUGGGUUGAGAACACAAUGUAUUCGUAGGGAGAGAAGGAGAGGAGAAGAGGAGAGGAGAGAAGAUGAA